AUUGAACGCUGGCGGCAGGCCUAACACAUGCAAGUCGAGCGAGCGGCGGACGGGUGAGUAAUGUAUGGGGACUGCCCGAUAGAGGGGGAUAACUACUGGAAACGGUGGCUAAUACCCCAUACUGUCGGAUAACCCAUAUGGGAUUAGCUAGUAGGUAAGGUAAUGGCUUACCUAGGCGACGAUCCCUAGCUGGUCUGAGAGGAUGAUGAGCCACACUGGGACGAAGACACGGCCCAGACUCCUACGGGGGAAGCAGUGGGGAAUAUUGCACAAUGGGCGCAAGCCUGAUGCAGCCAUGCCGCGUGUAUGAAGAAGGCCCUAGGGUUGUAAAGUACUUUCAGUCGGGAGGCGUUACCGACAGAAGAAGCACCGGCUAACUCCGUGCCAGCCGCCGCGGUAUAC
rnacentral:rRNA from 1 species